rnacentral:rRNA from 1 species
UGAGUUCUCCCUGACUCCUUGAGGGUCCUGAAGGAACGUUGAAGACGACGACGUUGAUAGGCCGGGUGUGUAAGCGCAGCGAUGCGUUGAGCUAACCGGUACUAAUGAACCGUGAGGCUUAACCUU